GAUGAACGCUGGCUACAGGCUUAACACAUGCAAGUCGUGGGGAAACGGCAUUAUGUGCUUGCACAUUCUGGACGUCGACCGGCGCACGGGUGAGUAUCGCGUAUCCAACCUGCCCCUUACUUGGGGAUACCCCGUUGAAAGACGGCCUAAUACCCGAUGUGUUUCAUUAACGGCAUCCGAUAUGAAACAAAGGUUUUCCGGUAAGGGAUGGGGAUGCGUCUGAUUAGCUUGUUGGCGGGGCAACGGCCCACCAAGGCGACGAUCAGUAGGGGUUCUGAGAGGAAGGUCCCCCACAUUGGAACUGAGACACGGUCCAAACUCCUACGGGAGGCAGCAGUGAGGAAUAUUGGUCAAUGGACGCAAGUCUGAACCAGCCAAGUAGCGUGCAGGAUGACGGCCCUAUGGGUUGUAAACUGCUUUUAUGUGGGAAUAAAUUGGUGCACGUGUGCGCCAUUGCAUGUACCUCAUGAAUAAGGACCGGCUAAUUCCGUGCCAGCAGCCGCGGUAAUACGGAAGGUCCGGGCGUUAUCCGGAUUUAUUGGGUUUAAAGGGAGUGUAGGCGGUCUGUUAAGCGUGUUGUGAAAUUUAGGUGCUCAACAUUUAACUUGCAGCGCGAACUGUCAGACUUGAGUACACGCAGCGCAGGCGGAAUUCAUGGUGUAGCGGUGAAAUGCUUAGAUAUCAUGAGGAACUCCGAUCGCGAAGGCAGCCUGCGGGAGUGUUACUGACGCUUAAGCUCGAAGGUGCGGGUAUCGAACAGGAUUAGAUACCCUGGUAGUCCGCACAGUAAACGAUGGAUGCCCGCCGUUGGCGCGCUGCGCCUGCGGCCAAGCGAAAGCAUUAAGCAUCCCACCUGGGGAGUACGCCGGCAACGGUGAAACUCAAAGGAAUUGACGGGGGCCCGCACAAGCGGAGGAACAUGUGGUUUAAUUCGAUGAUACGCGAGGAACCUUACCCGGGGCUUGAAUUGCAGUCGCUG
rnacentral:rRNA from 1 species